rnacentral:lncRNA from 1 species
AACCCAGCCUCAGUUUUCCAGGAGGACCCCAUCUCCCUCAGCUAGCAGGUCUGUGUCCUGCCCUCGGGUCCAGGUGCCUAGGAAGCUCCCCCCUCCACAGAAGCCGUAUCUCCCCCUCCCCCCAUUCUAUCCCCAGACCUGGCAUCUUGGCCAUCCCCCAUGUCUCCCUGUCCUCAGACUCCCCUGCAGAUGGCUGUGUGCAGACCUUGGCAGGAGUGGGCUGGCAGGCAGUGUCGCUGCUUCCCAGGCAGACAUGUAUAUAGCAAGUCUGUUUAUCAGGCAACGCCUUGCUGUAGCCAGAGGUGGUGGCUUAGCAGUGGCAGAAACGCCUGGGUUGCCUCACAAGCUUUGGGUUACUAAGGUGUGCCCUUGGCCUCAGCAGGCAGAUAAGCACCUGCAUUGGAGAAGGAGCCCUUGAUCACGGGCAGAUAAGCUGAGGAAAGGAUACAAAAAAAAACCCCAACAACAACAAGAAGCCGAGC